UGCGCAGGAUCAAGCUACAAUGAAGAGG
rnacentral:piRNA from 1 species